rnacentral:rRNA from 1 species
AUUGAACGCUAGCGGGAUGCCUUACACAUGCAAGUCGAACGGCAGCACGGACUUCGGUCUGGUGGCGAGUGGCGAACGGGUGAGUAAUGUAUCGGAACGUGCCUAGUAGCGGGGGAUAACUACGCGAAAGCGUAGCUAAUACCGCAUACGCCCUACGGGGGAAAGCAGGGGAUCGCAAGACCUUGCACUAUUAGAGCGGCCGAUAUCGGAUUAGCUAGUUGGUGGGGUAACGGCUCACCAAGGCGACGAUCCGUAGCUGGUUUGAGAGGACGACCAGCCACACUGGGACUGAGACACGGCCCAGACUCCUACGGGAGGCAGCAGUGGGGAAUUUUGGACAAUGGGGGAAACCCUGAUCCAGCCAUCCCGCGUGUGCGAUGAAGGCCUUCGGGUUGUAAAGCACUUUUGGCAGGAAAGAAACGUUCCGGGUUAAUACCCCGGGAAACUGACGGUACCUGCAGAAUAAGCACCGGCUAACUACGUGCCAGCCGCCGCCGUAACAC